rnacentral:ncRNA from 1 species
UUUGAACCAUUGAUGGAGAAGAGUAGUCAAGAUGACACAUGAUAAGAGAGGAAAAGCCGUGGCUGAAAGCUUUUCGCAUGAUGACUUGAUGAAGAGAACACUCCUUAGGUUUCCCUCUGAAAGAUGCUGCUUGCAUUUAAUAGGAGGUGGACGUGACAGGCGUUAACUGUCUUGAGUGGGAGCAUUUAAUGCUUCAACUAGGGUGGCACCACGGGAUCUAACUCUCGUCCCUACA